rnacentral:rRNA from 1 species
UACGGAGGGAGCUAGCGUUGUUCGGAAUUACUGGGCGUAAAGCGCGCGUAGGCGGCUUUGUAAGUCAGAGGUGAAAUCCCGGGGCUCAACUCCGGAACUGCCUUUGAAACUGCAUCGCUUGAAUCCGGGAGAGGUGAGUGGAAUUCCGAGUGUAGAGGUGAAAUUCGUAGAUAUUCGGAAGAACACCAGUGGCGAAGGCGGCUCACUGGACCGGCAUUGACGCUGAGGUGCGAAGGCGUGGGGAGCGAACGGG